AGUGAGCGCUGGCGGUAGGCCUAACACAUGCAAGUCGAACGGCAGCACAGUAAGAGCUUGCUCUUACGGGUGGCGAGUGGCGGACGGGUGAGGAAUACAUCGGAAUCUACUUUUUCGUGGGGGAUAACGUAGGGAAACUUACGCUAAUACCGCAUACGACCUACGGGUGAAAGCAGGGGAUCUUCGGACCUUGCGCGAUUGAAUGAGCCGAUGUCGGAUUAGCUAGUUGGCGGGGUAAAGGCCCACCAAGGCGACGAUCCGUAGCUGGUCUGAGAGGAUGAUCAGCUACACUGGAACUGAGACACGGUCCAGACUCCUACGGGAGGCAGCAGUGGGGAAUAUUGGACAAUGGGCGCAAGCCUGAUCCAGCCAUACCGCGUGGGUGAAGAAGGCCUUCGGGUUGUAAAGCCCUUUUGUUGGGAAAGAAAAGCAGCAGGUUAAUACCCCGCUGUUCUGACGGUACCCAAAGAAUAAGCACCGGCUAACUUCGUG
rnacentral:rRNA from 1 species